UCUCCGUUGGUGAACCAGCGGAGGGAUCAUUACAGGACUCGCAAGACUCCUUCACCCUGUGAACCUCACUACAAGCACGUUGCUUCGGCGGGUGUCCCGGCGGGGGUUUUCCCUCGCCGGGGCGCACAGCCCGCCGGCAGCCUACUAUACUCUGUCUCUUUGCGUUGGCAUCUCGCGAAAAAACAAACAAGUUAAAACUUUCAACAACGGAUCUCUUGGUUCUG
rnacentral:misc_RNA from 1 species